rnacentral:rRNA from 1 species
CGGCCCACCAAAGCGACGAUCAGUAGCCGGCCUGAGAGGGUGGACGGCCACAUUGGGACUGAGACACGGCCCAAACUCCUACGGGAGGCAGCAGUGGGGAAUAUUGCACAAUGGGGGAAACCCUGAUGCAGCGACGCCGCGUGAGCGAAGAAGUAUUUCGGUAUGUAAACUUCUAUCAGCAGGGAAGAAAGUGACGGUACCUGACUAAGAAGCCCCGGCUAACUAC